UACGGAGGGUGCAAGCGUUAAUCGGAAUUACUGGGCGUAAAGCGAGUGUAGGCGGCUGCAUAAGUCGGAUGUGAAAGCCCCGGGCUUAACCUGGGAAUUGCAUUCGAUACUGUGCAGCUAGAGUUUGGUAGAGGGAAGUGGAAUUCCAGGUGUAGCGGUGAAAUGCGUAGAUAUCUGGAGGAACAUCAGUGGCGAAGGCG
rnacentral:rRNA from 1 species